AAAUCAAUGUGCAUCGUUUCGUGAGAUACAUACUCGGUCGAUAUCUGACAAUACGAGAGUUCACUGUGAUCGUAGCAACAACGAUACGUCAAUUCAAGAAUAGAACUACGACGAGCCAAUGGCAUGCACGUGAUAAAAAUCCUGAAGUAUACCUAUGUAAAAUGCAACAGGCAAUUCAUCUAAGUCAGAAUCAAUUAAUAAAAUAAACUAAAUCCUCCUAUCUUCAAGAGGAAUUAAUUUUUAAAAAGGAACAUUACUUUAGUCAGGCGAAACUUCUCAAGCUGAUCGCACGCGACACGUACAUGCGUACUUCACAUUACGAGCCUAGGCGAGGAGAAUAGUUACAGAAAUAACUGGUGACUCAAUAUUUAGGCAGCACUGAUUUGCCACAGCACAUUUAGCACAGAUAAGCACGUGGGUUCAUAUCGAUUCUAUAUGAUCAAAAAUUGAUGAUUCAUAAUUUGAGAAGUGUAGUUUGACUCUGCCCCUUCUUGAUGCGACAUCUAUGAGAAUAAUUUUGACUAAUG